CUAAAUUUUACGAUAAUGUGCAACAAACACCGCGAAAUCAAUUUUUAAGAAAAUUAUGUGAAAAAGCAGCCGUAGCAAUUUUAGCACAAGUUGUCAAACCUAACAAGCGCGUGCAUGAUUGCACAAAAUCUUGAAGUUGUGCUUAUUUUAGUUGUGCCGUGUGUGGGCCUGCAUAACAAACUGAUAAAAAGAAUCAGUAAAGUGCAACUACAUAUAAAAAGCGUGCUGCAAAUUAGUGAUUUUGUGUAAUCAAAUCAGUGUUAAAUAUAGUUAAUAAGGCAUAUAAUUGUAAACACAAGAGAUCCAAACGUAUAGAAGCUGGCGGCGCACCGCUGCAAGCUCUGCAGGGGUGCGGGGCAACCUGUGUUUGUUAUCAUUUCGUUGCGGCCGCAGUGAGCGAUUGUGUUACCAGGAUUUUGCACGGAUGAGCUGAGCGCGCAAAUGUCACGAUGAGCAACAAUGAGGACAACAAUUACCCCAACUCAGCUGCAGACACAGCCCAAAGACUGAGCUCCAUUGUCGUGGAUCCCACCUCGAAUACCAGCCCAGAAAAGCAGCAGAAUAAGCCACAACAACACAAACCCAACUAUUACUAUCAUCGUUACGUAGGCCGUCCACAUUGGCGAUUUGCCGUGCCCAUUAGCCCGUAUGGCUGGUAUCGCGUUCUGGUGUUUAGCCAGAACAGCGGCUACACCGUGAAGCAGGUGCUGGAUAAGCUGCGUCUGGCCGUGGCGCCACGGAAGUUCAGGUAUUACUAUCUGCAUGAGGGCGGUGAGCAGGAUGUGGAGCAGGAUAAACGGGCCACGUUCACCUUCUAUGUGGAUAGCUACAAACUGGCCGCCGAGCUGCAGCUGCGCGGACAUCGUCCGCCGGUCGUGGGUCUGCGCGUUAACGACAGACCGCCCAUGAUCGAGGUGGACGAACCGUACAGAUGGAAGCUGCGCAAGGUGAUAAUGUCGCGGUACGAUGAGCGGAAGCGCUGCCUCAAUCUGUGCCGCUUCUAUGCGGACGAUUACUGGAAGGGCGAGUUCUGUGCGCUGCAGCAGUUCGAGUGCCUGGAGGCAAUCAUUGACAUUAUGGAGCAGGAGCUGCCGCAGCUGCGUCGCCUGCUGCUGGACAACAACCACCUGUGCCACCUGGGCGGCUUUCGUGGCGUUGAACAGCGAUUGCCGCGGCUGCACUGCAUCUCGCUGCAGCACAACGAGCUGAAGACGCUUCGACCGCUGCGCGUCUUUCAGCGCCUGCGUCUCACCGAGCUCAAUGUCAAGCGGAAUCCGCUGCCGCGCAACUACGAGCAGCAGCUGGUGACCAUGUUUCCGGAUCUGCGCACCCUCAACGGCCGUUCCGUGGCCAGACGCAGCACUCCCGUAGUCACGGUCAGUGACAGUGACAGCGACAGCAACAGCAUUAGCAGCAACAGCGACAGCGAUGUGGAGCUUGUCUCUGUCACCGAGUGCAAGCCGAUUAUCAUGCCGGAGCCGAGGGUCACGUACCUGGCGCCACAUGCGCUGCCCAUGCAGCUGGGCAUCAGGAAGUUCGUACGUCGCUAUCUGAAGGCGUUCGACGGCGAUAAAAGGACCACGGAUCUGCAGCGCUUCUAUCAGGAGCACGUUCUAGUUUCCCUCACACUUGCCAAGGAUCGCGCCAUGCUGGGUUCAUGGACUGCGCCCUAUGCUGCCUAUAGUCGCCAGCUGCUGGCGUGCCGGGUCGCGGCGCUGGAGAUGUUCGCCUCGUGGCCCAAAACGUUGCAUUUGCCGUUAACGAUGACCCUGGAUCUGACGCUGGUCGAGCCCCGGAUGCUGUGCGUUUCCAUAACUGGCAGCCUCGAGGAGAACGGCUCGCCCAACGUGCUGCGGCAUUAUAUGCGCACCUUUCUGCUGACCAGGACCGAUGAAACUGACGACUUUCGCAUAGCCAAUGAGCUCAUCUAUCUCAGCAGAGCUGGCCGUGGCCAGCGCCAGCCGGCGCCGCUCAAUCCUGUCCAACGUAACUUGAUGUGCAUGCUGUCGGCGGAGACGCGGCUGAAGUCGCGCUGGAGCAGCAAAUUCCUCAAGGACACCAAUUGGGACUAUCAGCAGGCCUUGCUGGCAUUCCAAACACUCCUCCGACGACGCCAGAUACCCGAGAAGGCAUUCGAGGGUGAUACCAAGCCAGAGCCGAGUCCAUGACAUCAGCUGCGCACUAUAUUCCCAAUGUGCCCGCAGGGAAAUUGAAAAUUCCACAGAUUAUGCUGAUUACAUUUUAUUUGAAUUUGAAUUUGAUGUGCGAGGGUAUAACGUGUCCAACGACUAUGAGAAUCAGGCCGCACCUUCAGCUCCUUCAAUUACGAUUUAUGAUUUGUUUGCUCAGUUUUGACAAUAUCAUCUGGAAUAAUACCGUAGCCAUACUUGUAAAAUAACUGAAAAUCUAUCCUCCUGGGAUUAAAGUGUAUCUUCAGAGUUGCAUGCAUGAAACUUUAAUUUCCGCUCUGAGAAUUAUGAAGCUUUACGACGAAAAAUCUGUGGAAAAUCAGAAAUGAAUACAGAAUAUAAAAAUACGUAAACAUCGAGGUAAUAAGAGCAAAUAGAAAUACUGGACCGUGCAGCUCCGGGGUAUGUGUAUAUAUAUAAGAAACUAUUUAAAGAAAUCCGAUUACUGUAUAUAAAACUUAAAAAAUUAAUUUAAAAACCAUUUGUGUUGUUAAUAUUGCAAAAAAUGUUAGAAAUUAAUGAAAGUUUACAAAACAAU